rnacentral:lncRNA from 1 species
UAUAAUGGUCGCCGACUCGCCGUUCAGUUGAUGUGAAUUAGCCAUGGUCACCACUGAAGCAAGUUAUUUUCACUACAGCAUUUCUUAGAAGGUAGGCAGUACACAGGUUUGCUAUACGUGAGUGCACUGGCUGCUGGAUGUGGCAUGUUUUAACUUUUAACUUCAGCAGUCUUCGAGGGAAGAAGUUUCUAAUUAUUUUGAAGACCAACCCAUACAUCUCUUCAAGGUUGUUGCUGGGCCUGCAUGACAACUCGUCGAGUAGCAGAGGCCAAGGCGAGGGGAGGACAUAGCUUCAUUCUGGAAGUUUGCCCCACUAAACAAGCCCGGAGGGCAAGAUUCAGGAAUCCUGCCAACCCUGCCAACGCUGUUCAGCCCGCCGACCCUGUCGACCCUGCAAACCCUGUAGAUGAUGAAUAACGACACUGCAUCUUUUGCGUGAAAAUAAGUGCAUCGUUCGUGCUCUUCAAAAUUUGUUUUCUUGUAGGCCUAUUAGGGCUUCCCUAUUUAUCUCCGUGGUUCUCAUAAUUAUUUUUAUUUGCCCUUAUAUGAAGCCUAGUCGGUCAGUCAAAAAGCAAUAACAAUCUGAACUAAAGUUGCACUCGUAAAGAUGGUAAACUAAAUGAUGCAAUAAGUUUAUCAUGAUUUGAUAUCACUGAAUACAAUUUUUAAAAAACCCAUUUUGGCCAAUUAUAGACGACUUACAGUAAUGUCUGGACGAAGCAUCUCAUUAACAAUUUAGUUGUAGUGGCAGCAAUAUUAUAAUGAGAGGCAAAAUUCUCUCAUCUGUCUUUCUUCCUCUGAUUUCCGUAAGCCGUAAUUUUCAAGUCGAGAAAAAAAUAUGAUAUUCAAUUUAAAUAACAUUUCAGAAUAACACAGAGCUAGUUGCUCGAAUGCAAUAUUCUUUGUUUUUUUAUUUGGAAAAAAAUUGUCUGUGAAUGGGGUUUUGGAAAUUGUCGGCGGAAAAACAUAUCCCAAAAUAGGGUCGAUUAAAAAAUGAGAACCAAAGAAAUAUAAGGUGAAGUCCCAAUGACUAAUUAAUGGUAAUGAAGAAAGUAUUGUUAGCUCUUUUUUUUUUGGAGGGAGCAUUGUAUAUUGGGGAAAAAUAGGAGGUUUUAUCAUUUUAGGCCGCGCAGAUCCACUAUGCAAGUAGACUGGUUCAUGAUGUCCCUUUUCAUUGUAUAAUCGAUUCUAAACGGAUAUGGGAUUGACUCGAAUGUGAACGCAAACAGUUAAAUUAUAUAAACUUACUUGCCAAUAGUAAAAACGUCCUGAUAUUUUUGUUGACAAAGUUCGUUCAAAUUGUGUAACUUUUGAAUUACUAAGAUAGCAAUGUUUAAAAACCAAUUGUGUUUUCGGGAUGAAACUCAAAAAUAACAGAAAACAUAAAAUAUGUUGUCAGAAAACUCAGUCCCACGUUGCCUGAAGAAUAAUAUUUUACGUUAAAGUUACUUAUAGCAUAACUGGUAGUCACCCGGAGAUGUACGCCUGCCCAGCUUAGCAAUUUCAGGACAUUUAAAUCCUUGCUAAAGGUUAAUAUAUGCAUAUAAAUAAAUAGACUUGUGCCCAUCCUUGCUGAAGAUGAAUACAUGUAUAAUUAUAUGCACAAAAUCUGACACUCUUUCGUUUUGAAGGGAAACUGACAAAAUAAUGCCGUUGGCGGGCAAUCUGUUUUACUGUUCCUGCUUCCCAGCAAAAACACACACAAAACUAGAUCAUUGGUUUUCUAACUGAAUCAAGAGGCUUUAAUGUGUUAUUUUUAAAUAGGCGAACUGAAAGCGACAUUGUACUGUUAUAUCAGAUUUAUACUAGCUUUGUAAUAAUAAUGAUUGACGAAGGUUUGCUUCCAUGCAUUCACCGGAUACAUUCUUUGUAAUAAAUGUAGAAACAGUAAGUC